rnacentral:rRNA from 1 species
CUUUCUUUGCUGGCGACCGGCGCACGGGUGAGUAACACGUAUCCAACCUGCCCUUUACUCGGGGAUAGCCUUUCGAAAGAAAGAUUAAUACCCGAUAGCAUAAUGAUUCCGCAUGGUUUCAUUAUUAAAGGAUUCCGGUAAAGGAUGGGGAUGCGUUCCAUUAGGUUGUUGGUGAGGUAACGGCCCACCAAGACUACGAUGGAUAGGGGUUCUGAGAGGAAGGUCCCCCACAUUGGAACUGAGACACGGUCCAA